rnacentral:rRNA from 1 species
CGAACGCUGGCGGCGUGCUUAACACAUGCAAGUCGAACGGAAAGGCCCUGCUUUUGUGGGGUGCUCGAGUGGCGAACGGGUGAGUAACACGUGAGUAACCUGCCCUUGACUUUGGGAUAACUUCAGGAAACUGGGGCUAAUACCGGAUAGGAGCACCUGCUGCAUGGUGGGGGUUGGAAAGUUUCGGCGGUUGGGGAUGGACUCGCGGCUUAUCAGCUUGUUGGUGGGGUAGUGGCUUACCAAGGCUUUGACGGGUAGCCGGCCUGAGAGGGUGACCGGCCACAUUGGGACUGAGAUACGGCCCAGACUCCUACGGGAGGCAGCAGUGGGGAAUAUUGCACAAUGGGCGGAAGCCUGAAGCAGCAACGCCGCGUGCGGGAUGACGGCCUUCGGGUUGUAAACCGCUUUCGCCUGUGACGAAGCGUGAGUGACGGUAAUGGGUAAAGAAGCACCGGCUAACUACGUG